GAUAUUCUAACAAGAGAGCCAGCUGAUGCAUACAUUUCAAUAGCGUAAGAUCGAUCUUUGAAACGAAUAGAACGAAUGUUCAUGAAUAGAAUUUGAAGGAAAUUAAAAAGAAAACGAAUGAGACACACACGAAAGGUUCCCUUCUACGAAUUGACUUUGAUUGACGGGAAUGUGCAUUUUCGAAGGCUAACAGAUCUGAGGAUAGACUUUCUCUCCGCCAAGACAUGUCUUUUCUCAGCAGAUAUGGAACAGAUGAAAAGCACGUGUUUGCUAACGAUCGACUUGAAAAUUUGUCGCUUGCAUUGCUUUAAAUAUCUAGAGAUAGAUCCAAUAUAUCUUCUCAAUCUUAGUUGCAUCAGAAGACCUGGAAGGUUCUGGAGAAACUUGACUAGACGAAGAAGCGAUCGAUCUGUCUAGCCGUUCGUAUAUUUCCGCAAGUUCAAUGCGAAGAACGAGAGAGGAAAGAAGCUUCGUUUGAGCGCAUUCUCAUUCAUCAGUAAUCGAACAAUUGCGGUGCGGAAUCGCAAUUGUUGAAGAAGCACCUACUGAUAACGGGGGUUAUCGGCGCCGGCUAUUAUAGCGUUUUACGGUAUUCUGCGUCAAACAUACAUCCCUCGAUUAAGUCAAUUGAGUCGAGUAAACCGAUGCAAUUAUACGAUUUAAGCUCGUACUUUCACCUUUGAACUCGCGUGUUUAAAUCGAUCCUCUUCACGUGUCUCCGAUGCGUCGUCGUGAACCUACAUAACUCUCGUACGGUAAACCCGUCCUUUGCGAUCUAUAUUUAGCUGUAAAUACUAUAUAGCUAUGUAGUUCAUUUAUCUAUCGUUCAUAUAUCUUUGAGAUCUCUUUAUAUUCACAUCCAUUCUUUCCUCGUUAUUUGAAUUAUAAACAGAUAUAUGUCUAUAAAGUCCCAAAACUCGUGAAGAAUGUCUUCUUAGUAA